AACGAACGCUGGCGGCAGGCCUAACACAUGCAAGUCGAACGGACGUAGCAAUACGUUAGUGGCGCACGGGAGAGUAACGCGUGGGAACCUACCUUUUGGUUCGGGAUAACAUCGGGAAACUGGUGCUAAUACCGGAUAAGCCCUUCGGGGGAAAGAUUUAUUGCCGAAAGAUGGGCCCGCGUUGGAUUAGGUAGUUGGUGAGGUAAUGGCUCACCAAGGCAACGAUCCAUAGCUGGUCUGAGAGGAUGAUCAGCCUCACUGGGACUGAGACACGGCCCAGAGUCCUACGGGAGGCAGCAGUGGGGAAUAUUGGACAAUGGGGGAAACCCUGAUCCAGCCGUGCCGCGUGAAUGAUGAAGGCCUUCGGGUUGUAAAGUUCUUUUGGUGGGGACGAUGACGACGGUACCCACAGAAUAAGCUCCGGCUAACUUCGUGCCAGCAUCCGCGGUAA
rnacentral:rRNA from 1 species